rnacentral:rRNA from 1 species
AUUGAACGCUGGCGGCAGGCCUAACACAUGCAAGUCGAACGGUAACAGGAAGCAGCUUGCUGCUUCGCUGACGAGUGGCGGACGGGUGAGUAAUGUCUGGGAAACUGCCUGAUGGAGGGGGAUAACUACUGGAAACGGUAGCUAAUACCGCAUAACGUCGCAAGACCAAAGAGGGGGACCUUCGGGCCUCUUGCCAUCGGAUGUGCCCAGAUGGGAUUAGCUAGUAGGUAAGGUAACGGCUUACCAAGGCGAUGAUGCAUAGCCGACCUGAGAGGGUGAUCGGCCACAUUGGGACUGAGACACGGCCCAA